rnacentral:rRNA from 1 species
UGCCAGCCGCCGCGGUAAUACGGAGGGGGUUAGCGUUAUCCGGAAUGACUGGGCGUAAAGAGUCCGUAGACUGUACUGUAAGUUAUUUGUUAAAUCCUAAAGCCCAACUUUAGAACAGCAUUUAAUACUACUUUACUUGAGUUUUGUUCGGAAGAGUAGAAUUCCACGUUUAGGGAUAAUCCCCGUAGAUAUGUGGAGGAACCCCAUUAGCGAAGGCGACUCUUUGGUAAAAACUGACGUUGAGGGACGAAAGUGUAGGGAGCAAACAGGAUUAGAUA